AGUAAUGUCUGGGAAACGGCCUGAUGGAGGGGGGUAACUACUGGAAACGGUAGCUAAUACCGCAUAACGUCGCAAGACCAAAGUGGGGGACCGUUCGGGGCCUCAUGCCAUCAGAUGUGCCCAGAUGGGAUUAGCUAGUAGGUGGGGUAACGGCUCACCUAGGCGACGAUCCCUAGCUGGUCUGAGAGGAUGACCAGCCACACUGGAACUGAGACACGGUCCAG
rnacentral:rRNA from 1 species